rnacentral:rRNA from 1 species
GAUGAACGCUGGCGGCGUGCCUAAUACAUGCAAGUCGAGCGAACAGACGAGGAGCUUGCUCCCCUGCCGUUAGCGGCGGACGGGUGAGUAACACGUGGAUAACCUACCUAUAAGACUGGGAUAACAUCGUGAAACCGGAGCUACUACCGGAUAAUAUAUUGAACCGCAUGGUUCAAUAGUGCAAGACGGUUUUCCUGUCACUUAUAGAUGGAUCCGCGCCGCAUUAGCUAGUUGGUAAGGUAACGGCUUACCAAGGCAACGAUGCGUAGCCGACCUGAGAGGGUGAUCGGCCACACUGGAACUGAGACACGGUCCAGACUCCUACGGGAGGCAGCAGUAGGGAAUCUUCCGCAAUGGGCGAAAGCCUGACGGAGCAACGCCGCGUGAGUGAUGAAGGUCUUCGGAUCGUAAAACUCUGUUAUUAGGGAAGAACAAAUGUGUAAGUAACUAUGCACGUCUUGACGGUACCUAAUCAGAAAGCCACGGCUAACUACGUG